AAACCAGCACCUCAAGUGGUCAGGAGGUUUAUUGGGCCUAAAGCAUCCGUAGCCUGAUCUAUAAGUUUCCGGUUAAAUCCAAAUGCUCAACAUUUGGGCUGCCGGAAAAACUGUAGAUCUAGGGAGUGGGAGAGGUAGACGGUACUCGGUAGGAAGGGGUAAAAUCCUUUGAUCUAUUGAUGACCACCAGUGGCGGAGGCGGUCUACCAGAACACGUUCGACGGUGAGGGAUGAAAGCUGGGGGAGCAAACCGGAUUAGAAACCCGGGUAGUCC
rnacentral:rRNA from 1 species